CGCGAAGCCGGGCUGCCCGGCACAGCCGAAAGCCCCCCGGCAGUCAGUCCGUCAGUCCGUCAGUCCGUCAGGGCGGCCGCCGGCGCUGACCAGGGGCUUGGCGGAGCAGGUCCGGCUUCAGCCCCAAAGCAGAUCCCUCAGCUGCUGUGAACUGGAAUGCCAGAGGCGACAGCAGUGUGAAUUUUCUUCUGCUCCUUCAACCUCUCCUUCAGCUGAGGACUUGAAGAGUGAGGAUCUCUCAGUUUUAUAUCCUCCUGCGAAAUGAGACUGCUGAGGUUUUGGACACAAUGUGGGAGAUCGGCAGUACUUAAGAGAACAGAGAACAAGAUGCAUGAAAUCUGUGAGACAGCAAGAGGUGAGAUUUGAUCAUCUGAUCACAGAUCAUUGUAUUUUUACCACCUUGGUGAAUUAGCACCAUGUUCCCCUCCUUCUCUCAGCUUCCCAGCAUUCACCAAUAGCCAAAAGAACUUUUCAGUUGGGUGCAUGAAGAUCUUGAAAGGACUUGGAUUAGAUUCCUGUUAGGGCAGAAAAAGGCUUUGGAAAUCUGCUGUCAUCCCAUCAGCCCACAGAAACACUCCAAAAUACCAUAUUCAGUGGGAGAAAAUGGAAAGUAUCUAGAGCACCAAAUGUGACAGCUGGAAAUUAUUUAAAAAAGCACAUAAGAUGGGUAGGCCAGUAAUGUUAUGAGGGGUAAGAGAGGCAGCUGGGAGAUUUGAAAGGGCAGGCCUGAGAGCAGCUGAAAGAUGCCAGCAGUCUGCUAGCAAGAGUGUCUGAGAGCUGUGUGUGAUGAGAAAACAUGCCAAAAUGAUAAGAAAAACAGCUGGAGAAAAACAAAAUUUCAAAGCCUGUGAAACGGGGAUGGAUAUGCAAAUUCUGUUAACACUAUUGAAAGAGUAAAUGAAAUAGUUUGUUUUUUUCUUUUUUCUUCUGUAUGCUUUCAUAAGUUACUCUUGUUUUCACAAAUGACCUCUUUCUGCAGAAUCUGCAAGAGUCCUUUGCUGCUGCUGCCUCCUUCUCUUGAUCUUUUGGGCUUUGGUUGUUCCCUCCACAGAAAACACCUGUCUCUGAACAAUACUGUUCACUUGUUAAUAGUCUCUUAAGCCAAUAUUUGAAUAGUUUAUUUUUCUAUUUCCUGACCUUAUCAAGAUUUUCCCUGCUUAUCAUUCCAAAUGUGAAAACCCCUCAGUGGAAUGCCAUUCCCUGUGAAGAAAAUGCACUCGUAGCAGUUCUUUUUAAAAGUUCCACAUCUCAUUCUGUGUUGGAUCUAUAAGACUUAGAUGGCUUUGUAUUCCAGAGGCCUAGCUGGAGGAGCUGGCAGGCUUGAAGGACCUGAUGAACAGUCUCUAGAAUUUGGCAGGGCCUAAAACAAGCUUGUAAUAAGAACGUGGUGACUUGGGAAAGUAAACAAUAAAAACACACAGUGGGGCAGAUUUUCAAGGCUUUAUGCAUUACAAUUGCACCUGUAUUUUUGCAUGUAUUUUAUUAUACGUAGAGCUUAUAAUUUACUUGCAUCUGAUCACUAAUUUGACUCUAGUCUGGGUGUGCGCAUCAAUGAUGUGAAGACAUAUGCCAAUAUCUGCAUAUAGUAGCAUGUUCUUUACCUUUGAAAUUGUGGCUCUGCUGCUUUUCAGCUGUGAAAGCAUGAGACAGUAUAUGUGUACUUUUUUUUUUCCAUAGAUCAUAAGGAACAAAGAACUUAUGUGAAGAGUACACGAUAAGAUCUGAAUAGAUUCUGUCCCAUCAGAAACUGAAAUACAGCAACAUGAAGAGAGCAAACAUGCUGUCUAGCUCCUCUGAAGCUGUUUGCUAAUGACCUCCAAUGAACUAGAAAAUGUUAGAGAGCAUAGUCUCAGCUUGAAGCCUGACAGGAAAAAAAACAGCAGGCAGAGAAAAGGAUGCAAAGAAAGUGAAAGAGAGAAUGGAGAUAGUAAAUCAUUAUUUUUCAACAACAACAAAACCCUAAUCAGUCAGCAAAUUUCUGAUUGCUACCUGACCUACACUGUUAACUUCAGGCUAACAAGAAAAACAGAAGCAGUUCUGGAGGACAGGAAAGCAGACUUACAGAAUAAUAAAGUAAUAGAGCAAAUGUAAAGGAUGAGAAGGUAUAAAAAUGCAUAGGGAAAAAUAUGUAGAAUCAGUGAGAAGAAAUGUUCACGAUGCAGAUUAAUUGUUUUUAAAGAAAGCGUGUACUUUAAGUUUUCAGAUACCUGAAAGCCUUUGACUGUGUGUUUUGAAAGAAGAUCUUUUGUUUUGGAAGCCCUUGACACUAUAUUCCCCUAACAGGAACAAUUAACCAGAAGCAUAAACUAACAAGAAAUUUUACAUGUAAGAUCUAGUUUUGCACUUCUUAUGCUUAAGUAAAUUUCUCUCUCGGAAUUUCAGCUUCCUUGUUUUCUCCAUGAUUAGCAGCAGACUAGGCAAUUUAUUAUUCUACAUUCUACUGUAAAUAUAGAUGGCCUCUGUUUUAUGAAAAAAAUGAGUUUGUGAGAAAUGAGUGCAGGUGCACUUAUCUGAAAAGAAGUAAGAUAGCGGAUUUGAGAAAAAAUGGGGGAGGCCCUGACCAACUGUUUUUUCAAUGCAUUGCCUUUGAUAGUUGAAAGAGCCCUCCCUGCCUGCUAUAUGUCCUGCUUCCCAGCCUGUAGGUUAAGAAGAUCUUUGCCACUGGCUUUGCACCACCUUGUGACUUAGGAGAGUUCUCCCCCCCAAGAAGGCUGUCUGGGUUCAUGUCUUAGCCCUCAAGAAAAGAGGAUUUCAGUUGCAGAAGGAAGUACGGUUUGGUCAGUUAUGUUUUUAAUUAAAAUGAGGCAGUGGUGGAGAGACUGAAUUUGCCGGAGCGUGAACCUGUAAAUCAAGUCAAGCUGCUAUGAAGUUUACAAACUAGAGAUGCGCCCAGGUGGCUUCAUUUAAAUGGAGUGCAAUAAUUCAGUUUCAGAGUUGGCAUGGUUCCCCCACAUGCAGCUCUUUGAGUGAUAUUACUCCAUAUUGUUUCUCAAAAAAUCCCAAGGUGGGGCGCUUUCUGCCACUUCUCAAGAAUGAGAACGCCAUGAGAGAUUUCACCACUGAUAAUUUUUUCCAGACUCUGGGGAGUAAGCAGGGCAUCACUUUGGUAUUUCUUUUUCCUCUCCUCAACACCAAGCCAUUAUCAGAAGAGGAGCCAAAGUUCAUCACAAACAUGAACAUGUACCUACACUUAUCUUCUUGCUAGCACAUCACAUUGAACAGCAGAAUUAUCUUUCCACUAAACACACACAGGUGUUGGAGUGUGUUCCCAUACCACAAAUUUCGGAGCAAGAUGGUAGGGCAAGGUAGGGCAAAGUACCGUUUGGCAGGUCUGCAGGCAGCUUGCUCUGCUCAACAGCAAGGCCUUCAUGAGUUGUUCAAUGGGAUAGCCAUUGUUUUGCAAACGCAGGUAACCCUCUAAAUACCAGGAUCUGUGAAUAGUGCAGUAAAAUAGAUAUUUUCUUGAGAUCUUUGCUGAUUUAGGAAUUAAAAACCAGUUAAUAUCAUUGAAACUUCUACCUGUAUGACUGACAGAACCUGAGACUUUGCAGGUAACCCUGCCUAGAUUUAAUAACACCCCACUGAGAAGCAAUUUGUUUUCUUGUUGGCAUAUUCAUGACUUUGUCUUCAGGAGUCAUCAAAUGAGCAAUAAUUCCCCUUGUUGUCAGCCAGUUAAGACCUGGAAGAUCUGCUCUUAGUUUUUAAACUCCAAACAAUCCUACCAUCCUAAGCACAUUAAAUACCACAGUAAAUGUCAAGAAUCCAUGAAAAUCUUUUGAUGUUUGCAAGUAAUAGCACUUUCACCACCACUGAGCAGACUGCACUUCUGACCCCUUUGGAGCAGACCUCUCUGACCUCCAGCGGUUCUGUCAGGUUAUGUUCAUGCCUAUCUUCUGUUUUCAGUCUGUGCCCUGGCUCCAGUCACAGAAUCACACAACGUUAGGGAUUGGAAGGGACCUCAAAAGAUCAUCUAGUCCAAUCCCAUUGCCCUGGGUAUCAAGCUCAUCUCAGUUGUGCCCAAAGCUUUGCUGUUCUGUUCUCCCUGAAGCAAGGGCUGUGGCACUCAGCAACCAAGCUGUCCUACUGAAAUGGAAUAUCAUUAAUACAAUGCAGCCGCAUUUCAAAUGAACCGUAUCUUAAGAGCAAUGGAAUCACAGAAUCACAGAAGGUUAGGGAUUGGAAGGGACCUCAAAAGAUCAUCUAGUUCAAUCCCCCUGCCGGAGCAGGAACACCUAGAUGAGGUUACACAGGAAGGCAUCCAGGCGGGUUUUGAAUGUCUCCGGAGAAGGAGACUCCACAACCUCCCUGGGCAGCCUGUUCCAGUGCUCUGUCACCCUCACUGUGAAGAAGUUUCUUCCCAUAUUUAAGUGGAACCUCCUGUGUUCCAGUUUGUACCAACUGCUCCUUGUCCUACCAUUGUUUGUCACUGAGAAGAGCCUGGCUCCAUCCUCAUGACACUCACCUUUUAUAUACUUGUAAACAUUAAUAAGGUCACCCCUCAGUCUCCUCCACGCUAAAGAGCCCCAUCUCCCUCAGCCUUUCCUCAUAAGGGAGAUGCUACACUCCCUUCAUCAUCUUUGUUGCCCUGCACUGGACUCUCUCCAGCAGUUCCCUGUCCUGCUUGAACUGAGGGGCCCAGAACUGGACACAAUAUUCCAGAUGUGGUCUCACCAGGGCAGAGUAGAGGGGAAGGAGGACCUCUCUCAACCUACUAACCACCCCCCUUCUAAUACACCCCAGGAUGACAUUGGCCUUCCUGGCCACAAGGGCACAGUGCUGGCUCAUGGUCAUCCUGCUGUCCACCAGGACCCCCAGGUCCCUUUCCCCUACACUGCUUUCUAAUAGGUCAUUCCCCAACUUAUACUAGAACCUGGGGUUGUUCCUGCCCAGAUGCAGGACUCUACACUUUCCCUUGUUAAAUUUCAUCAGGUUAUUCCCCACCCAACUCUCCAGCCUGUCCAGGUCCCGCUGGAUGGCAGCACAGCCUUCUGGCGUGUCAGCCACACCUCCCAGCUUAGUGUCAUCAGCAAACUUGCUGACAGUGCACUCUCUUCCCUCAUCUAAUUAAUUGAUGAAUAUAUUGUAUAUAGUAUAGUACUGUAUUGUAUAUAUAUAUAGCACUGGUCCCAGUACCAACCCUUGAGGGACUCCACUAGAUACAGGUCUCCAACUAGACUCUGUCCCAGAAGGGAGAGUACAGACAGUGCCCAGUUCUCCCUAACACUGCCAUUCCCUGAGUUUAGGAAACCCAGAUUCCUUUGCCAAAUUGUGUUCUUUGAGAACUGCUGGCAAGCACCGCCGCCAUUGUCAGGAUCAGGCCAAGGCACUCCAAACAGUUUGCAUUAUACUGAAGACAACAUACUAGAUCUUUGAAGACAGCUUCAUUCUUUGAAGUUCCAGACUAAGACUUUCUUCCCCAGGAAGACACUAUGUUGCUGCUUGGUUUGCGCUUUGGCCAGUCUUUAUGGAGCUAAACGGAUGCAUUCACACAAGAAAGCCUUUCAAUGGUGGUGUGGCCUUCUCAGGAGCUCAAUCAGCUGAGCUGCUGCAGCCAUGCCAGGGCAGCUCCCUUCUGACAGAAACUCUCUGAAGGCUGAUGGGCACACUUCUGUUUUCACACUCAGCUGCUGCUCUCGGAGCUUUACGUUGGAUUCUGAUUUCUUUUGGCAAGAUCCCAGGUGUUGUUAGAGCGGACGGGAAAAUCACUGUUCUUGAUAAGGUCAGAGGAAGACCAGUUUCAGGAUACAGUAGUGUAUGUGGAAAUGGUGACAUUUGCAGCAGAAUAAAGCCUGGAGAUCUUUGUAAUCUCUCUUACAUGAAAAACAGUAUAAAUUAUGGUGGCACUCAGGUUAGCAAAAGGAUGCACUUUACAGAAAAUGGGAAAAAGAGUUUCCUUGAUAAAUAAGUUCGCUAAUAGAAAAAAAGCCAAUAUUGAUGAAAAUCAGGAAAGAACAAUGCAUAAACCUGCAUACUGUAAUCCCACUCUACUCUGUGCUGGUGUGGCCUCACCUGGAGCACUGUGUGCAGUUCUGGCGCCACAGGAUAAAAAGGGUAUAAAGCUACUGGAGAGUGUCCAGAGGAGGGACAUGGAGUUGGUGAAGGGUUUUGGAGGUGAAGCCGUAUGAGGAGCGGCUAAAGUCACUGGGUUUGUUCAGCCUGGAGAAGAGGAGACUGAGGGGAGACCUCAGGGGCUACAGCUUCCUCACAAGGGGAGCAGGAGGGGCAGGUGCUGAUCUCUUCUCUCAGGUGACCAAGGACAGAACCCGAGGGAAUGGCAGGAAGAUGUGCCAGGGGAGGUUUAGAUCGGACAUGAGGAAAAGGUUCUUCCCCCAGAGGGUGGUGGAGCACUGGAACAGGCUCCCCAGGGAGGUGUCACAGGUCCAAGCCUGACAGUGUUCAAGAAGAGACUGAACAACGCCCUCAGACACAUGGUGUGACCUGUGGGGUUGUCCUGUGCAGGGACAGGAGUUGGACUCGAUGAUCCUUGUGGAAGAGAUCAUACCAAACAAAGACAGCAGCCCACUUUUAAGGUCCUUUGUCCCUAGUGUGAUGAAGAAAUUUCAUUAUAAUUGAAACUGACCAUGCUCUGGACAUACCUUGAAAAAAAGCUUGUGCUUCAACUUGGUUAUGCUUGGGUUGUUCAUAUUGGUCAUGUUUACUUGUCUGCAUAAAACAUUCCAAAAUUGUCCAGCUAUCUUCAGUGAAAACAAAAUUUGCUUCUCGCCUUUCAUUAUUUCUUUCUUCAUUCAGAAAUAUUACUAGCGAACAAAUUAGGAGAUGAAUUCCAGAGGUUAGAACAAAUAGCCAGGGAAUCCCAAUUUUUUGGCAACAGUAUGGUAUCCACAGCCUUGAGCAAGUAAUCAGUCCUCCCUUUGAAGCAGCUGGAAAAUAUGCUGAUGUGUUUCUGUUGAAAACCAUUCAAUCGUAGUGAUUUGUGUCAGGAAAAACUCAGAACAUUCUACUCUGGUACUUUCUGAAUGCAGAGGUAUUUUGUUUUUAAACCAUUUAUGAUUUUUUUAAAAUGAUCAAAACACAAAAUGUUAAAAAAUAUACCUUUAUUUUUCCGGGAGGGAGUUUUGUUUAAUACAGUGUUUUAAAUUUUAUCUGCUAAUUUUUGCCAUUGCUACAAAUCCAGACAAAACAAACAAACAAAACCACCAAACAAAUGAAAAACCAAACCAAAACAAACCAAAAGCCCCACAACCAACCAAACAAAAAAACAGUACAAGUUUUUCAGAGGGUGGCAAAAUCCCUUAUUUGCAGUGCUGGAAAAAAAUGUGUUCUUUUCAAGUAUGUGGAAAUGUGUUCUGUUCAAGUAUGUGGUAAAGAUUGAUUCAAGUACAAGAGGGUACUGAGCUAAAAAGUAUACACAUCUCAAGAGACCUCUCACCAAUUAAUUUGGAUAGCAUCUUUUGACUUUCAGAUGCUUGGUGAUGGAACAGGCUACUGUGGGUUCCUCCCUAUUCCCAGACUGUUUAGGUCAAAAAUAAUGAUAGUGUAAGCUAGCCCAAAUUCAUGGCUUAUCUCAGUAAA